GGUAAAAGUUAUUUAUUUGUUUACAAUUACAUGUGGAAACCUUUCAGUUAUAAACACUUAGAAAAUCUGUCUAUGACGCUUUUCAUUGCCAGAUAAAAUAGAUUAGUAUUUUGACCCCAAAAAAAGAAUGCCAAUUUAACUAUUGAUUAUGUUCUUGAGAUGAAAUAAAACCAAGUUGUUUUAUUUAUCUAGAUAAGACAGGCUUCUUUAACUCCCACUGUUUUUUUUCUCCUGCUAAAAACAUCUGGACUUCUGAAACAUCAAAACAUGCCUCUUCAGACCUGUGAAAACAACCAAUAUUAUUUAGACAGGAUAAAACAACAUUAUUUAGACAGGUGAAAACAUUAUUUAGACAGGUGAAAACAUUAUUUAAACAGGUGAAAACAUUAUUUAAACAGGUGAAAACAUUAUUUAGACAGGUGAAAACAUUAUUUAGACAGGUGAAAACAUUAUUUAGACAGGUGAAAACAUUAUUUAGACAGGUGAAAACAUUAUUUAGACAGGAUAAAACAACAUUAUUUAGACAGGAUAAAACAACAUUAUUUAGACAGGAUAAAACAUUAUUUAGACAGGAUAAAACA
ensembl:lncRNA